UUAGAGUUUGAUCCUGGCUCAGAUUGAACGCUGGCGGCAGGCCUAACACAUGCAAGUCGAGCGGAUGAAGAGAGCUUGCUCUCUGAUUCAGCGGCGGACGGGUGAGUAAUGCCUAGGAAUCUGCCUGGUAGUGGGGGACAACGUUCCGAAAGGAACGCUAAUACCGCAUACGUCCUACGGGAGAAAGCAGGGGACCUUCGGGCCUUGCGCUAUCAGAUGAGCCUAGGUCGGAUUAGCUAGUAGGUGAGGUAAUGGCUCACCUAGGCGACGAUCCGUAACUGGUCUGAGAGGAUGAUCAGUCACACUGGAACUGAGACACGGUCCAGACUCCUACGGGAGGCAGCAGUGGGGAAUAUUGGACAAUGGGCGAGAGCCUGAUCCAGCCAUGCCGCGUGUGUGAAGAAGGUCUUCGGAUUGUAAAGCACUUUAAGUUGGGAGGAAGGGCAGUAAGUUAAUACCUUGCUGUUUUGACGUUACCAACAGAAUAAGCACCGGCUAACUUCGUGCCAGCAGCCGCGGUAAUACGAAGGGUGCAAGCGUUAAUCGGAAUUACUGGGCGUAAAGCGCGCGUAGGUGGUUCAGCAAGUUGGAGGUGAAAUCCCCGGGCUCAACCUGGGAACUGCCUCCAAAACUACUGAGCUAGAGUACGGUAGAGGGUAGUGGAAUUUCCUGUGUAGCGGUGAAAUGCGUAGAUAUAGGAAGGAACACCAGUGGCGAAGGCGACUACCUGGACUGAUACUGACACUGAGGUGCGAAAGCGUGGGGAGCAAACAGGAAAAGAUACCCUGGUAGUCCACGCCGUAAACGAUGU
rnacentral:rRNA from 1 species